GGUCUGCGGGUGGCCCCUAGCUGGCCGGAUCUCCCAGCCCCAGCCCGACACUCGCCGGGGGAUUCUGAGCUGUGGCUGCUCCACGUGCCCGCGACACGAUGCUCCCCUUCUACAGCAGGUGGAGAACUGGACUGCUGCUGCUGUUACUCCUGGCUGUGGCCGUGAGGGAAUCCUGGCAGACAGAAGAAAAAACUUGUGACCUGGUAGGAGAUAAGGGUAAAGAGUCCGAGAAAGAGUUGGCCCUAGUGAAUAGGCUGAAACCACUGUUUCACAGAAGCUUUGCAAAGAGCACCGUGGGCCAGGGCUCAGACACAGACAUCUACAUAUUCAGGGUGUGCCGGGAAGCUGGUAACCAAACCUCUGGGGCAGGCCUGGUGCAGAUCAACAAAAGUAAUUGGAAGGAGACAGUGGUAGGGAGGCUCAACGAGACUCAUGUCUUCAAUGGAAGGCAAUUUUAACCCUGUGUCAGAGGAGCGUGGCAAAGUCCAAGAUUGUUUCUACCUCUUUGAGAUGGAUAGCAGCCUGGGCUGUUCCCCAGAGAUCUCCCACCUCAGUGUGGGUUCUAUCUUACUUGUCACGUUUGCAUCACUGGUUGCUGUCUAUGUCAUUGGAGGGUUUCUGUACCAGCGACUGGUGGUAGGAGCCAAGGGAAUGGAGCAGUUUCCCCACUUAGCCUUCCGGUAAGAUCUUGGCAACCUGGUAGCAGAUGGUUGCGACUUUGUGUGCCGCUCUAAACCCUGAAAUGUGCCUGCAGCCUAUCGUGGUGUGGGAGGUGAUCAGCUGGGGGGGGGGGGAGUCAGAAGAGAGGGAUGACCAUUUAUUGCCAAUGUGA